rnacentral:rRNA from 1 species
CCUACGGGGGGCAGCAGUGGGGAAUAUUGCACAAUGGGGGAAACCCUGAUGCAGCGACGCCGCGUGAGUGAAGAAGUAUUUCGGUACGUAAAGCUCUAUCAGCAGGGAAGAAAAUGACGGUACCUGACUAAGAAGCCCCGGCUAACUACGUGCCAGCAGCCGCGGUAAUACGUAGGGGGCAAGCGUUAUCCGGAUUUACUGGGUGUAAAGGGAGCGUAGACGGCAGCGCAAGUCUGGAGUGAAAUCCCAUGGCUUAACCAUGGAACUGCUUUGGAAACUGGGCAGCUAGAGUGCAGGAGGGGUAGGCGGAAUUCUUGGUGUAGCGGUGAAAUGCGAGGAUAUUAGGAGGAACACCAGUGGCGAGGGCGGCUACCGGGACUGUAACUGAGGUGGGGGCUCGAAGGCGUGGG